rnacentral:rRNA from 1 species
AGCAGUCGCCACGGUAAUACGGAGGAUCCAAGCGUUAUCCGGAUUUAUUGGGUUUAAAGGGUGCGUAGGCGGCCUAUUAAGUCAGGGGUGAAAGACGGUAGCUCAACUAUCGCAGUGCCUUUGAUACUGAUGGGCUUGAAUGUACUUGAGGUAGGCGGAAUGUGACAAGUAGCGGUGAAAUGCAUAGAUAUGUCACAGAACACCAAUUGCGAAGGCAGCUUACUAAAGUAUGAUUGACGCUGAUGCACGAAAGCUAGGGGAGCAAACAGGAUUAGAUACCCCAGUAGUCCCUGUCUCUUAUAA